rnacentral:rRNA from 1 species
AAGGUAGCGUAAUCACUUGUCUUUUAAAUGAAGACCUGUAUGAAAGGCAUCACGAGAGUUUAACUGUCUCUAUUUUCUAAUCAAUGAAAUUGAUCUAUUCGUGCAGAAGCGAAUAUAAUAACAUUAGACGAGAAGACCCUAUGGAGCUUCAAACACUUAAAUUAAUUAUGUAACCAUCCAUUUCCCAGGAAAUAAACAAAAUAUACAACACUUCUAAUUUAACUGUUUUUGGUUGGGGUGACCAAGGGGAAAAACAAAUCCCCCUCAUCGAUUGAGUACUAAGUACUUAAAAAUUAGAAUGACAAUUCUAAUUAAUAAAACAUUUACCGAAAAAUGAUCCAGGAUUUCCUGAUCAAUGAACCAAGUUACCCUAGGGAUAACAGCGCAAUCCUUUCUCAGAGUCCCUAUCGAAGAGAGGGUUUACGACCUCGAUGUUGGAUCAGGACAUCCUAAUGGUGCAACCGCUAUUAAGGGUUCGUUUGUUCAACGAUUAAUAGUCCUACGUGAUCUGAGUUCAGACCGG